rnacentral:rRNA from 1 species
CUGCGUACGGCUCAUUACACCAGCUAUAAUUUACUUGACCUUGACUUCUUACUUGGAUAACUGUGGUAAUUCUAGAGCUAAUACAUGCACCAAAGCUCCAAUCUUCCCAGAGCGGAGCGCAUUUGUUCGCCACAAAACCAAGCGCCUUCGGGCGUCCAGUGUUGACUCAGAACAACUAAGCUGAUCGCACGGUCUUGCACCGGCGACGUGUCUUUCAAGUGUCUGCCUUAUCAACUUUCGAUGGUAGUGUACCUGACUACCAUGGUGAUGACGGGUAACGGAGGAUAAGGGUUCGACUCCGGAGAAGGGGCCUGAGAAAUGGCCACUACGUCUAAGGAUGGCAGCAGGCGCGCAAAUUACCCACUCUCAACAUGAGGAGGUAGUGACGAGAAAUAACGAGACCGAUCUCUUAUGAGGCCGGUCAUCGGAAUGGGUACAAUUUAAACCCUUUAACGAGUAUCUAUGAGAGGGCAAGUCUGGUGCCAGCAGCCGCGGUAAUUCCAGCUCUCAAAAUGCAUAGAAUUAUUGCUGCGGUUAAAAAGCUCGUAGUUGGAUCUGUGCUAGCCGUCCGGUCCACCCACUGGGUGCGCACUGGUUCGGUUGGCUUUUCUGCCGGUCUCUCCCCGGCGUUGGCCUUCACUGGUCGGCGUCGGUGGGCUGGCGAGUUUACUUUGAACAAAUCAGAGUGCUUCAAACAGGCGUUUCGCUUGAAUGUUCGUGCAUGGAAUAAUAGAAGAGGAUUUCGGUCCGAUUUUAUUGGUUUUGCUGACCGAGAUAAUGGUUAACAGAGACAAACGGGGCCAUUCGUAUUGCUACGUGAGAGGUGAAAUUCUUGGACCGUAGCAAGACGGACUACAGCGAAAGCAUUUGGCAAGAAUGUCUUCAUUAAUCAAGAACGAAAGUCAGAGGUUCGAAGGCGAUCAGAUACCGCCCUAGUUCUGACCGUAAACGAUGCCAACUAGCGAUCCGCCGGCGGAUUCAUUCGCCCUGGUGGGGAGCUUCCCGGAAACGAAAGUCUUCCGGUUCCGGGGGAAGUAUGGUUGCAAAGCUGAAACUUAAAGGAAUUGACGGAAGGGCACCACCAGGAGUGGAGCCUGCGGCUUAAUUUGACUCAACACGGGGAAACUCACCCGGCCCGGACACCGUAAGGAUUGACAGAUUGAUAGCUUUUUCAUGAUUCGGUGGAUGGUGGUGCAUGGCCGUUCUUAGUUCGUGGAGCGAUUUGUCUGGUUUAUUCCGAUAACGAGCGAGACUCUAGCCUACUAAAUAGUUGGCUCAUUGCUACUGUGGGCACAACUUCUUAGAGGGAUUUUCGGUGUUCAGCCGCACGAAAUUGAGCAAUAACAGGUCUGUGAUGCCCUUAGAUGUCCGGGGCUGCACGCGCGCUACACUGGCAAAAUCAGCGUGCUUGUCCUUCCCCGAAAGGGGUUGGUAAACCGGUGAAAAUUUGCCGUGAUUGGGAUCGGACAUUGCAAUUAUUGUCCGUGAACGAGGAAUUCCUUGUAGGGGCGAGUCAUCAACUCGCUCUGAAUACGUCCCUGCCCUUUGUACACACCGCCCGUCGCUGCCCGGGACUGAGCCAUUUCGAGAAACUCGGGGACGAUUAUGCGUGCCGGCUUCGGUCGGCGCGUUGAUUGAAACCG